rnacentral:rRNA from 1 species
GAUGAACGCUGGCGGCGUGCCUAAUACAUGCAAGUCGAGCGAACAGACGAGGAGCUUGCUCCUCUGACGUUAGCGGCGGACGGGUGAGUAACACGUGGAUAACCUACCUAUAAGACUGGGAUAAAUUCGGGAAACCGGAGCUAAUACCGGAUAAUAUAUUGAACCGCAUGGUUCAAUAGUGAAAGACGGUUUUGCUGUCACUUAUAGAUGGAUCCGCGCCGCAUUAGCUAGUUGGUAAGGUAACAGCUUACCAAGGCAACGAUGCGUAGCCGACCUGAGAGGGUGAUCGGCCACACUGGAACUGAGACACGGUCCAGACUCCUACGGGAGGCAGCAGUAGGGAAUCUUCCGCAAUGGGCGAAAGCCUGACGGAGCAACGCCGCGUGAGUGAUGAAGGUCUUCGGAUCGUAAAACUCUGUUAUUAGGGAAGAACAAAUGUGUAAGUAACUAUGCACGUCUUGACGGUACCUAAUCAGAAAGCCACGGCUAACUACGUG